UAGGGAAUCUUCCGCAAUGGACGAAAGUCUGACGGAGCAACGCCGCGUGAGUGAAGAAGGCUUUCGGUUCGUAAAACUCUGUUGUUAGGGAAGAAAAAAUGUAUAGUAACUAUAUACAAAAGAGACGGUACCUAACCAGAAAGCCACGGCUAACUACGUGCCAGCAGCCGCGGUAAUACGUAGGUGGCAAGCGUUGUCCGGAAUUAUUGGGCGUAAAGCGCGCGCAGGUGGUUUAGAAAGUCUGAUGUGAAAGCCCACGGCUCAACCGUGGAGGGUCAUUGGAAACUAAUAAACUGGAGUGCAGGAGAGAAAAGUGGAAUUCCUAGUGUAGCGGUGAAAUGCGUAGAGAUUAGGAGGAACACCGGUGGCGAAAGCGGCUUUUUGGCCUGCAACUGACACUGAGGCGCGAAAGCGUGGGGAGCAAACAGG
rnacentral:rRNA from 1 species